UACGGUUACCUUGUUACGACUUCACCCUAAUCAUCUGUCCCACCUUAGGCGGCUGGUUCCUAAAAGGUUACCCCACCGACUUUGGGUGUUACAAACUCUCAUGGUGUGACGGGCGGUGUGUACAAGGCCCGGGAACGUAUUCACCGCGGCAUGCUGAUCCGCGAUUACUAGCGAUUCCGACUUCAUGUAGGCGAGUUGCAGCCUACAAUCCGAACUGAGAAUGGCUUUAAGAGAUUAGCUUACUCUCGCGAGUUCGCAACUCGUUGUACCAUCCAUUGUAGCACGUGUGUAGCCCAGGUCAUAAGGGGCAUGAUGAUUUGACGUCAUCCCCACCUUCCUCCGGUUUGUCACCGGCAGCCUCACCAGAGUGCCCAACUUAAUGCUGGCAACUGAUAAUAAGGGUUGCGCUCGUUGCGGGACUUACCAACAUCUCACGACACGAGCUGACGACAACCAUGCACCACCUGUAUCCAUGUCCCCGAAGGGAACGUCUAAUCUCUUAGAUUUGCAUAGUAUGUCAAGACCUGGUAAGGUUCUUCGCGUAGCUUCGAAUUAAACCACAUGCUCCACCGCUUGUGCGGGCCCCCGGUCAAUUCCUUUGAGUUUCAGCCUUGCGGCCGUACUCCCCAGGCGGAAUGCUUAAUGCGUUAGCUGCAGCACUGAAGGGCGGAAACCCUCCAACACUUAGCAUUCAUCGUUUACGGUAUGGACUACCAGGGGUAUCUAAUCCUGUUUGCUACCCAUACUUUCGAGCCUCAGCGUCAGUUACAGACCAGACAGCCGCCUUCGCCACUGGUGUUCUUCCAUAUAUCUACGCAUUUCACCGCUACACAUGGAGUUCCACUGUCCUCUUCUGCACUCAAGUUUCCCAGUUUCCGAUGCACUUCUUCGGUUGAGCCGAAGGCUUUCACAUCAGACUUAAAAAACCGCCUGCGCUCGCUUUACGCCCAAUAAAUCCGGACAACGCUUGCCACCUACGUAUUACCGCGGCUGCUGGCACGUAGUUAGCCGUGGCUUUCUGGUUAAAUACCGUCAAUACCUGAACAGUUACUCUCAGAUAUGUUCUUCUUUAACAACAGAGUUUUACGAGCCGAAACCCUUCUUCACUCACGCGGCGUUGCUCCAUCAGACUUUCGUCCAUUGUGGAAGAUUCCCUACUGCUGCCUCCCGUAGGAGUUUGGGCCGUGUCUCAGUCCCAAUGUGGCCGAUUACCCUCUCAGGUCGGCUACGUAUCAUUGCCAUGGUGAGCCGUUACCCCACCAUCUAGCUAAUACGCCGCGGGACCAUCCAAAAGUGAUAGCCGAAGCCAUCUUUCAAACUCGGACCAUGCGGUCCAAGUUGUUAUGCGGUAUUAGCAUCUGUUUCCAGGUGUUAUCCCCCGCUUCUGGGCAGGUUUCCCACGUGUUACUCACCAGUUCGCCACUCACUCAAAUGUAAAUCAUGAUGCAAGCACCAAUCAAUACCAGAGUUCGUUCGACUUGCAUGUAUUAGGCACGCCGCCAGCGUUCGUCCUGAGCCAUAAUCAAACUCUAAUCGAAUUCCCGCGGCCGCC
rnacentral:rRNA from 1 species